rfam:Glycine soja cultivar W05 scaffold524_41, whole genome shotgun sequence.
UGCUGUGGAUGAUGAGAUUGACAAUUUUACAGUUAUCCCUGGCUGAUGUAGCAGGUGCUGAAAAUUUGUAAUCUGACACGCAC